GGAUGACGCAGUCCGUGUGCAGGUAGCCCACCCUGGGCAGGCUGAGCGUGGAUAUGAGGAGGUCCACCGCCAGUUGGCCCACGUUGCCCACCGCCACCGCUGGCUGACGUCGUACGAAACAAACAUCCUUACGAUCAUCGGUCAGCGGCAAAUGUUAGGACACCAUAAUUUGGCAAAGACGUUACGUUCACAGACGUUUUCUUUGAAGGAUUUCGGCCGUGUGUUUAGGUGAGUAUGGUUUUAUUUUUGUCUCUUCUCUUGAAAUAUAAUAUUUAUAUGUCUUUGUUAUUUGAUUUUGUUUUCUCCGAGAUGGUUAUUAUAUAACCACUGCUCCCUUCGCAAGUGUUGAUUUUUGUUUAAAACGAUUGUUUGAUUGUUGCCAUAUUUGUAUGUUGUACUACGUUUUUCAAAUUGAGUGGGAAAAAAAAUGUUUAGAGCCCUUCAAUGAAAAAUAAAGGAAUAUGGGGACGUCAUU